GACGAACGCUGGCGGCGUGCCUAAUACAUGCAAGUCGAACGCUGAAGGAGGAGCUUGCUUCUCUGGAUGAGUUGCGAACGGGUGAGUAACGCGUAGGUAACCUGCCUGGUAGCGGGGGAUAACUAUUGGAAACGAUAGCUAAUACCGCAUAAGAGUAGAUGUUGCAUGACAUUUACUUAAAAGGUGCAAUUGCAUCACUACCAGAUGGACCUGCGUUGUAUUAGCUAGUUGGUGAGGUAACGGCUCACCAAGGCAACGAUACAUAGCCGACCUGAGAGGGUGAUCGGCCACACUGGGACUGAGACACGGCCCAGACUCCUACGGGAGGCAGCAGUAGGGAAUCUUCGGCAAUGGACGGAAGUCUGACCGAGCAACGCCGCGUGAGUGAAGAAGGUUGUCGGAUCGUAAAGCUCUGUUGUAAGAGAAGAACGAGUGUGAGAGUGGAAAGUUCACACUGUGACGGUAUCUUACCAGAAAGGGACGGCUAACUACGUG
rnacentral:rRNA from 1 species